rnacentral:tRNA from 1 species
GGAGAGGUGCCUGAGUGGUUGAAAGGGACGGUCUCGAAAACCGUUGUCCGCCUUUAGUGUGGACCGUGGGUUCGAAUCCCACCCUCUCCG